UCAACUCCACGAUGAGACUGUUGCUGCUACUGCUGCUGCUGGCGAAUGGGCACGCCGAAUCAGAGGUUAAGAUAACUGGACAUUGGGAAGGAGGGUUUAAUGGUCAGUUUUGUAUCCCUGUCACGGAAGACCUGCACGGAUGGUCAGCCCAUGUCAUCUUUGACCAGUCAAUCAAGUCACUUGAUGUGCAACAAGCUGCUGAAAUUGUGGAGACCAGAAACAACAACACUGAGUUCAUCAUGCACAACAAAGACUGGAACAAA